AUUGUUGCUUUCUUUGUGGCUU
rnacentral:piRNA from 1 species